CCGUCCUCGCCAGUGCCAGGUACAAUCUCGUCAUCUUAGGAGACGAGUCUGUCGGCAAAAGCAGUAUCAUCACUCACUUUAUGAACAACAAGUUCUGUAACAAAUACGAGAUCUUAUGAGGAAUAUGAGGACUCAAGUAUUGCUCAAACUGAUCAAGCCUUACACAAGAAUUCGGAUCCCUUUCAUAUCCAAGGUCAAAGGGGAUGAAGAAAUACACUGCCGUGGAUAAGUGGAACACACAGCUUAGGUCCCUCUAUCAGACUGUUCGUUUGUGGUGCGUAUUAAGGUUUGACGAGCUCUUGCACGAAUUAAGGGUUGGCUCUCCACUUGUGUGCCUGAUCUGGUUCCGUCUCAUGUAUUAAUGGGUAUACCAGUGAAUGGUGAAUCUAUGUCUUUAUCUCCUCUUGGUGAAGCUUGCUUGAGAUCGGACUUGACUGCCAUACAUGAAAUCUUAGAAAAACUUGGGUACAAAGAUGACGAAGGAGCAGCUGCCGAGGUUUGUCUCAUUACAAUUAUUUGAUUUAUUUUCAUAUCAUGCCCUGUUUGGAUAUAUGCUCUUCUGUCAGCUGGAGUCUAUUCCUAGCUUAAUUAUAGUGAAUAAUGGUGGCAUCAACUAAACGCAACCCAUCAAUGAAGUGCUGUUAGGAUAUCACUAUAACUAUGAAAUUAGUGGAGGGAAGAAAACAUGAGUAGUAAGUUCCAAUUAUCCCUGUAAUGAUAUGUGGAGUUUACAGGGAGUGCUCUGAGAGGUUUAGUAAAAGCUUUUUUGGGUACACUUCUUCAGGAAAGCAUUUUGUGGGUGUUAUUAAGUUGUCUCACCUGUAC